rnacentral:tRNA from 1 species
GGGACUGUGGCUUAGUGGUAGAGCGCUCACCUAGCACGUGUAAGACCCAGGUUUGAUCCUCAGUACCA